GACGAACGCUGGCGGCGUGCCUAAUACAUGCAAGUCGAGCGAAGCGGCGGAUGGGUGAGUAACGCGUGGGUAACCUGCCCUUAAGUCUGGGAUACCAUUUGGAAACAGAUGAUAAUACCGGAUACUGAAGGAUGGACCUGCGAUGCAGUAGCUAGUUGGUAAGUUAACGGCUUACCAAGGGGAUGAUGCAUAGCCGGUUUGAUGGGCGAAUCGGCCACAGUGGGACUGAGACACGGUCCAGACUCCUACGGGAGGCAGCAGUGGGGAAUAUUGCACAAUGGGCGCAGGCCUGAGGCAGCCAUGCCGCGUGUAUGAAGAAGGCCUUCGGGUUGUAAAGUACUUUCAGCGAGGAGGCGUUACUCGCAGAAGAAGCACCGGCUAACUCCGUGCCAGCCGCCGCGGUAAUUC
rnacentral:rRNA from 1 species